GACGAACGCUGGCGGCGUGCUUAACACAUGCAAGUCGAACGAAGUGGCGAACGGGUGAGUAAUACGUGAGUAACCUGCCCUCCUUUUUGGGAUAAGCCUUGGAAACGGGGUCUAAUACCGAAUAAAGGGGGAUGGGCUCGCGGCCUAUCAGCUUGUUGGGGGGGGGAUGGCCUCCCAAGGCGGUGACGGGUAGCCGGCCUGAGAGGGUGACCGGCGAAAUUGGACCUGGGAUAUGGGCCAGACUCAGACGGGAGGGAGGAGUGGGGGAUAUUGGACAAAGGGCGAAAGCCGGAGGCAGCGAUGGAGGGUGGGGGAUGAAGGGUUUUGGGUUGUAAACCUCUUGCGCUAUCGAAAGGGUAGGUGGAGAAGAAGCGCCGGCUAACUACGUGCCAGCAGCCGCGGUAAUUC
rnacentral:rRNA from 1 species